GUUGGCCUACGGGGCGCAGCAGUAGGGAAUCUUCCACAAUGGACGAAAGUCUGAUGGAGCAACGCCGCGUGAGUGAAGAAGGGUUUCGGCUCGUAAAGCUCUGUUGGUAGUGAGGAAAGAUAGGGGUAGUAACUUGCCUUUUUUUUCCGGUAAUUACUUAGAAAGUCACGGCUAACUUCGUUCCAGCAGCCGCGGGAAUACGUAGGUGGCAAACGUUGUCCGGAUUUAUUGGGCGUAAAG
rnacentral:rRNA from 1 species